rnacentral:rRNA from 1 species
AUUGAACGCUGGCGGCAUGCCUUACACAUGCAAGUCGAACGGUAACAGGUCUUCGGAUGCUGACGAGUGGCGAACGGGUGAGUAAUACAUCGGAACGUGCCCGGUCGUGGGGGAUAACGAAGCGAAAGCUUUGCUAAUACCGCAUAAGAUCUACGGAUGAAAGCAGGGGACCGCAAGGCCUUGCGCGAACGGAGCGGCCGAUGGCAGAUUAGGUAGUUGGUGGGAUAAAAGCUUACCAAGCCGACGAUCUGUAGCUGGUCUGAGAGGGCGACCAGCCACACGGGGACUGAGACACGGCCCAGACUCCUACGGGAGGCAGCAGUGGGGAAUUUUGGACAAUGGGCGAAAGCCUGAUCCAGCCAUGCCGCGUGCAGGAUGAAGGCCUUCGGGUUGUAAACUGCUUUUGUACGGAACGAAAAGACUCUUUCUAAUAAAGAGGGUCCAUGACGGUACCGUAAGAAUAAGCACCGGCUAACUACGUGCCAGCCGCCGCCGUAA